GAGAUUCAAAAGUUAGGCGAUGGAUUUUACUUUGAGUCUUGACAAAAAGAUUGAAAAUGGACUUUGAACUUUGAACUUUAUUUAGAUGCUACCUGACCCGCUGAGUACCUCCAGCAUCUUAUAUGUCCAUACAUGGCCUCCUCUACUGCCAUGAUGAAGCCAAACUUCAGUUGGAGGAACAACAUCUCAUCUGCCGUCUGGGUAGUCUCCAGCCCCUUGGCAUACAUAUCCAAGCUAUGAAUACAUGGAAGUUACCCACACAAAAUGCUGGAGGAUCUCAUCAGGCCAGGCAGCAUCUAUGGAAAAGUGUAAACAGUCAACAUUUCAAGCCAAGCCGAGACCCUUCAUCAGGACUUAGAAGGAA